CAUAUUCUACUAAAACAAAAAACAUUUCAACUCUUUUAACACACACUCUCUCUCUCUCUCCAUGUGUUCGAGCUAACCAGAAGCAAACGUUCGAACAUGGCCGCAAAGCUAAAUGUGCGAUUCCAAUCACAGGGUUGAAGAAAUGGAUAUUAGUUCCUCGAUGAUACAGAAGUCGGUCAGUUUCCCGUCACGCACAACCAAAGUAUUGCUGCUUCAGCUCCGACAGUGGGUGGCUAUCAGAGCUAUUAGAAACCUAUAAUAGUGCAAAAGCAGACUUAAAGGAGAAAUGUAACUUUUCAUGUUUGAAGCAAUAUAAAAACACAAGGAAUCUUCACCUUCAGAUUCAUAGGACAAAAGUUCACUAUUGGGUUUUUUCCUUGACUUUAUUUUACUAGGAAUCCUCACCUUAUCAUGUCACUUUGGUUUCUGCUCUACCUGUCAGGAUUUUCUACUAAAUUAUGUUGCAAAUAUGUUUGUAUGGAUGAUGUGCUUUGGUUUA